CCAAUAGCGUAUAUUAAAGUUGUUGCAGUUAAAAAGCUCGUAGUUGAAUUUCGGGAUUGACGUGAUGGUCAUGCCUUAAGGGGUAUGAACUGUUACUGUUGAUUUCUCACCUUCUGGAGAAACUUGAUGUCCUUUAUUGGGUGUCUUGCGGAUCCAGGACCUUUACCUUGAAAAAAUUAGAGUGUUUAAAGCAGGCAUUUUUGCUCGAAUACAUUAGCAUGGAAUAAUAGAAUAGGACGGCAUGGUUCUAUUUUGUUGGUUUCUAGGAUCACCGUAAUGAUUAAUAGGGAUAGUUGGGGGCAUUAGUAUUCAAUUGUCUGAGGUGAAAUUCUUGGAUUUAUUGAAGACUAACUACUGCGAAAGCAUUUGCCAAGGAUGUUUUCAUUAAUCAAGAACGAAAGUUAGGGGAUCGAAGACGAUCAGAUACCGUCGUAGUCUUAACCAUAAACUAUGCCGACUAGGAAUCAGACGAUGUUAAUUUUUUAAUGACUCGUUUGGCACCUUACG
rnacentral:rRNA from 1 species